GAGGCUUAACACAUGCAAGUCGAGGGGCAUCAGGAACAUAGCUUGCUUUCUUUGCUGGCGACCGGCGCACGGGUGAGUAACACGUAUCCAACCUGCCCUUUACUCGGGGAUAGCCUUUCGAAAGAAAGAUUAAUACCCGAUGGCAUAAUGAUUCCGCAUGGUUUCAUUAUUAAAGGAUUCCGGUAAAGGAUGGGGAUGCGUUCCAUUAGGUUGUUGGUGGGGUAACGGCUCACCAAGCCUUCGAUGGAUAGGGGUUCUGAGAGGAAGGUCCCCCACAUUGGAACUGAGACACGGUCCAAACUCCUACGGGAGGCAGCAGUGAGGAAUAUUGGUCAAUGGGCGCUAGCCUGAACCAGCCAAGUAGCGUGAAGGAUGAAGGCUCUAUGGGUCGUAAACUUCUUUUAUAUAAGAAUAAAGUGCAGUAUGUAUACUGUUUUGUAUGUAUUAUAUGAAUAAGGAUCGGCUAACUCCGUGCCAGCAGCCGCGGUAAUACGGAGGAUCCGAGCGUUAUCCGGAUUUAUUGGGUUUAAAGGGAGCGUAGGUGGACUGGUAAGUCAGUUGUGAAAGUUUGCGGCUCAACCGUAAAAUUGCAGUUGAUACUGUCAGUCUUGAGUACAGUAGAGGUGGGCGGAAUUCGUGGUGUAGCGGUGAAAUGCUUAGAUAUCACGAAGAACUCCGAUUGCGAAGGCAGCUCACUGGACUGCAACUGACACUGAUGCUCGAAAGUGUGGGUAUCAAACAGGAUUAGAUACCCUGGUAGUCCACACAGUAAACGAUGAAUACUCGCUGUUUGCGAUAUACAGUAAGCGGCCAAGCGAAAGCAUUAAGUAUUCCACCUGGGGAGUACGCCGGCAACGGUGAAACUCAAAGGAAUUGACGGGGGCCCGCACAAGCGGAGGAACAUGUGGUUUAAUUCGAUGAUACGCGAGGAACCUUACCCGGGCUUAAAUUGCAGUGGAAUGAUGUGGAAACAUGUCAGUGAGCAAUCACCGCUGUGGAGGUGCUGCAUGGUUGUCGUCAGCUCGUGCCGUGAGGUGUCGGCUUAAGUGCCAUAACGAGCGCAACCCUUAUCUUUAGUUACUAACAGGUCAUGCUGAGGACUCUAGAGAGACUGCCGUCGUAAGAUGUGAGGAAGGUGGGGAUGACGUCAAAUCAGCACGGCCCUUACGUCCGGGGCUACACACGUGUUACAAUGGGGGGUACAGAAGGCAGCUAGCGGGUGACCGUAUGCUAAUCCCAAAAUCCUCUCUCAGUUCGGACCGAAGUCUGCAACCCGACUUCGUGAAGCUGGAUUCGCUAGUAAUCGCGCAUCAGCCACGGCGCGGUGAAUACGUUCCCGGGCCUUGUACACACCGCCCGUCAAGCCAUGGGAGCCGGGGGUACCUGAAGUACGUAACCGCAAGGAUCGUCCUAGGGUAAAACUGGUGACUGG
rnacentral:rRNA from 1 species